GAGCUAACACGUGUGUUUUGGGGUGAUUGAUUACUGCAUGUUUCUUUGCGUGUACCGUUUUGGUGCUGUCCAAGAAUUUAAGAUAGGUUCAAAUUUAUUUAAUGAUGCAUUGGACCUUUGGCGGUGAGAUGCUCUGGGGUAUCAGCAGUGUGGCCAUAGCUGCGUUCAUCCUAAGAUGGUGGUGGGCCAUGGAGCAGUCCGCAUUUGAUGGGUUACACGCUCUGGUUCCAAUGCACCGCACCGCUUUGACCAUUUAUUUUCUAGAUAGAUGGCCUCCAUCUAUCUUCUUCUCCACCGGCCCAAGGUCCUUCUCGAUCCCCCCACGCCUGUACUGGCCUCCCCCGCCGGAGCUCUCCUUCCUGAUCCCCCACUCCUCCAUGUCCUCGAACUCCCAUGUGAGCUCCUCUCUACCCGCCGCCCCUCAAUGACGGCGCAUACCAGGAGCAGGUCACGCACGUCCUUCGGUCCACUGCCUCCCUCGGCGGGCUUCGUCCGCUCCCGCUCGCCGGCGGUAAGCUUAGGCGACGCUCGGUCGUCCCUGCUUAGAUUCGUGGCCGAUCCUGCGUGCAUGACGCCGGAGAAGCCCGGCUGCCGCCCAACAGUGCUGCUCGCCUUGGUGGUCGCCGCGCGUGCCUCCACGGCGAAGACGCCGAUUGGAUCGAGCGAGCAGCCCGUCCCCUCCCCUUCUGGCAGUGCAGCGGGGAGCAGAACCACGUGCUGCCAGGGGAGCGCAGGCGCAGGCGUAGCAGGUGCUUCUUGCACUGGUGGGUCAUGGCGGCGUUGCGGCGGCGAGGUGGCGCUGUGGCCUAGGGUCUUGAUCGGCGCUAAGUGGUUUCAGUUUGAGGAUGCUGGAUGCGGGACUCAAGUGUGGAUGGGGUGCGCCAUGUCGAGCCCAUCACUGCCAUGCCCUCCCCUGCAUCCACACAUGGCGACGACGGAGACAACCGCAUGGGUCCUGUCCCCACCAGCGGCACCCGCGUUUGCGGCCUGAUGGAGAAGGAGAAGGAUCUGCUGUUGUCGCCGGAAUUGCAGCGCAGCAGGCGGCAGCGGCGGCGAAGAUGCAGAGGGGGCGCACUUCCACCGGAGGGUCCAUGAAUCCCAGCGAGCGGCGGCCGUGUCAUCUGGUCGCGAGUGCGUUCUCCACUCCACGGCGGACGACAACAUUAGGUUAUGCAUCGACGGUUUGCACAAUUCUGGGAGCGCACGCGUCCGGCUGCAGCAACAACUCUGCAUUUUUUUCUCCUUUUUCUUUGUUUGACCGCCCGUUCAUCUUCUUUAGAAUCCUUCACCGGCAUCGCAGCAACCAGGUGAUUCCCCAACUCAUCUCGCCUCCUAGAACAUCAUCUUAUCUCCCUAAUUUGACAUAUGAGCGCUCAAUUUAUUUUUCCUUUUUUCCCCUCUCCCCUUAGUCCCUCCCGUAAUCCGAUUAAUAUUCGUUUAGGGAGAUUCAUGAGUUUCACCUACCAGAUGGAUGUGUGCACCCUUCACAAUCUGCGGGUAAGACAACCAACGAACGAUGAAAAGUUGGCAUCAAUUUGGUUUCCUGAGUGUCCAUAGAUGAAAGCGUGCGGCUCCCAGGAGAUAAAGUGCCAUACUAUCUCACGAUUGAUUGUCUAAACGUUUUUGUUUUCUAUACCAAGUGCAUCUUAUUAUUAGUUGGUUGGUUUCUUAGGAAAUUAGUUAGCGACAAGUGCAUAUUAUUACUACUUCUGGACUUCUGGUCACCUUUUACCAUUGUCACUGUCGGUAUUGCGAUUCUUUUAGUCCUGAAGAGAAGGUAAAAAUAGUUGUGGAACAUCUCCUUCCUAGGGUAUUUGAACAACACUGACUAGAUUUGAGCACCAGCAAGCUAUUACUACUCCUCCAGAGAGAUAUCAUACUGACGUAUUUCAAUGCUUUGGUUCCUCUGACCCUCUACUCUUCCAGUUCAUCUGCAGCGUCACGCCUCUGGUCAACUCAGCUAUUGGAUAAGCAAAGUAUGCCGACCAUGCUUCACCUUUCUCAGGCGAUCACAGGUGAGCAUCAACGCUUAUGGAUAUAUGUUUGAAGGUUGAAAUCUUCCAGGAUGGUUCUUGAUCUAGACAAUGCUUCUUGCUUCCAAGUUAAACCAGUUUGGCUUUCAUAAGUACAUUGAGCUUGGAAUGCUCUUCAAUCUGUACAUGCUCAUUCUGUAUUUCUCAAGGGAAUGUUUUCCCUUCUUUAGGCUAGCUUCCAGCUAUUAUAUGUCAAGUGAUGUUCAUUGCAAUUCUAUAUUACAUAACCUUUAAGAUUAAAUUCGUGACCAAUUCUGCCAAUUGUGUCCGGCAAUUUAUAAAUUUGGUGAUGUGCUUAGCUCAGCUAAUUAAAUCGUUACCUGAUAUUGUUUUGAAAAAUGAGUAUGAACAUUGAAUUUUUUGCUAUUUCAGGAGAUACUUCUAUUUUCGGUUGCGGCUCUAAUAUAUAUCUCUAGGUUAUAUUUACCAAUUGAAGUACUCAUGCCAUGAUCUAUCCUCACACAUAUGUAAAGAUUCUUCUCCAAGUAGUUUAUUGAAAUAAUGUGCCGUUGUGAUGAUGUAAGAUAUUUCUUAGUAGAGCUUCAAACAGUUCUUCGUUUUAUUUUAUGUUUGGUAAUACAUGAUUUAUAGCUGACAAGGUACCGUAGCUGAAUUGGUAGACUUUGUUGGAGAUUCUUACUGCUCCUCACAAGGUCAUGCUUAUGUUCUAAUGCUUCCAUUUAGUUUGCUAAAGUUUCCGAGAACUGGUCAUUAUAUAGUAAUAGUUAGAAGGUUACAUUAACAAUACCUUGGAUAGGUUCAGUGAUAUAAAUUGUCAACAUAUAUGCUCGGUGUGGAUUAUGUAUUGACCAUUGCAUCUGAAUUUCUGAAUGAUCGCAUGCCAUUGUUCGGGUCACAUCUUCCUUCGCUACAAUGUGAGCUUAUUUCAACUCUGGCCUCAAGUUGCUCCCGUCAUUGCCUCCUCAUAGAUUGUUUAAUUGAUUAUUUAAACCUUUUUUUCUUAUUCUUGAUAGAUAAGCUAGCUAUAGGAAAUAUGCUUCUAGAUUCUCCAUGUUCCAGUAAUGGCAAACACAUUCGUUUAUGGUUAUACCUACUGUGCUUUUCUUUUGUUUUCGAUGAAAGAUGAUAGGUAGAACAACUGCUAUGUAUCUUUGCACUUUGUAGGAAAGAAGGUAAGAAAUAUCUCUUUUGUGACGAAACACUUUCAAAAAUCUCCUUUUUAUGAUGACAUCAUUGAAUAAGACCUAAUGGAGUAAGGUGCAUUUGUUUUUUGAUGACAUGGCAAGGCCAGGAAAAGAGUUAUACAUUUACAUUCGCUUUUAGAAAUUCCCAUAUUGACUAAUAUGGCUUAUCGCGGGUUCUUUCCCACUGACGCUUUACACUUCUUUGUCUCAGAAAAUAGUUACAUCAUGAGGAGACAAGAUAUUGGCCAAUAGAGCCAUAAUGCGACCCGACCAUUCUCCUGCGAGGGAUGUCUUGUGGUGACAAGAAGAUGGUUUCUGGUAACAAUUCCUUUUUUUGGAGUUCAAUUCAAAGGGGAUGUGAGAAUGAAUACCUAAUCAAGCAACUGGAGACAGAACAAAAAAUAGUUCAGGUUUUGCAAUAGUGUCUAGGAAAAGUUGUUGUGGUAUACAACAAAUAUGAAGGGUUUUGUGUGUUUCAGAAAACCUCAAGAGAAGAUGAUUGAGUGUACAGAACCAUGAUGAGAAGAGUGCUAAACCACAAGUUAGAAGGUAGCUAUAUCAAGACGAGAAUUGUUCUCUUCAGUUUUGGUGCUAUUCUGAAGCUUGCUAUUAUUUCGUACACAUGGUUCAUUACUUCUAUUGGUUAAGUGUAAUCUUAAAAUUAUUACAACCAUCGUAUUAUUACAUAGUUGGCGCGGCG